GCCCAUUCAAACCGCAGGGAGUUUCAAAUGGCUGUGUCCCCUAGAGACCCGGCCUAGCUCCACCAGGGGAAAAGCCGGCAUUAGAAUGGCUUCUACGAUGACGCAGAGGAAGCCAAGAGGACGCUGUCAAGGCCUAGUCAUCACUGACUCGCAGUUAGAAUGCUUGGGCAGGAAAGAACUGCCAAGAUCAGACAGCCUGGACAGACACACACACACACACACACACACACCCCUUUCUUUUAAACUUAAAAGUUAUUCUCUAAAAAAAAAGUUGCUUUUUUAAAAGCUAUACAAAGUUCUUAAUGUUUCUUUGCCAACAGAGUAUAAUGGGAUUUUACAACUAUAGAAAAUAUUACCUUUGCCUAAGAAACAGUAUUUACCGGUGUGUGCACAGCUGGCUGACAAGACUGUCUACCACCCAGCACCAUAACUGCUGGAAUAAGCUAGCUCAUGUUACAGGAUUCCAAACGGGAUGAGAAGGCUACAGAGACUGGCACACUCAGGUACUCAGCCUUCUGUGACUCAAAGUCACCGUAUCUCAGCUUAUUUUCGACAACUCACAGUAAUUGCCAAGUAUUGUUAGUGAUAAGGAAAGUCCUUCUAGGGAUGAGAAGAUACUUAGCAGCACCAUUCGGCCCCUUUUAAUUCAGCUCUACCCAAGGAAUCUCAACCUUCUGCUACCUCACGUACCUUCGCGCUCCUGUUUUAAGAGGAGCCUCCCCGCUUCCAAAGAACUGCCCCGUAGCUGUGAAACGAGGCAGAAGACAGAUAAAUCCCAAUGCUGGUGACAGACAGCAACUUCACUUUGACAAAUUGGGGUUCCAAACCUCUCAGCCUAGCUCGGGAUCCUUUAUCCAGUAUCACCGCAAGCAGUAUUGUCAGAGAGUGAUUUCAUCUGGUCGCACUAGGCGCUGGACCUGAGCCGGCCUGUGCCAGCAUCUCCAUCACUGGUUAAGUACCAACCUGAAUUCACUCUGUACGCCAGGGGAGAGGAGUCUGGCUGACCUGAUGAAGAGAGUCUGAAAUGCAUGCUCCCAGUUCUCACCUCAAAUCACCAUUAAGAAGUCGCUCCUCAUUAGAGAAAGGACUGAAGGAACUGAAGGGUUUGCAAUCCCAUAAGAAGAACAACAUCAACCAACCGGACCCCCACCCCCACCCCAAAGCUCCCAGGGACUAAAUUACCAUCCCAAGAGAAUACAGGGAUGGACCUAUGGCUCCAGCUGCAUAUGUAGCAGAGGAUGGCCUCGACGGACAUCAAUGGGAGAAGAGGCCCUUGGUCCUGUCAAAGCUCAAUGCCCCAGGGUAGGGGAUUGUCUGGGUGGGGAGGUGGGAUGGAGUAGG
ensembl:lncRNA